rnacentral:rRNA from 1 species
UACGUAGGGUGCGAGCGUUGUCCGGAAUUAUUGGGCGUAAAGAGCUUGUAGGCGGUCUGUCGCGUCUGCUGUGAAAAUCCGGGGCUCAACCCCGGACUUGCAGUGGGUACGGGCAGACUAGAGUGUGGUAGGGGAGACUGGAAUUCCUGGUGUAGCGGUGAAAUGCGCAGAUAUCAGGAGGAACACCAACGGCGAAGGCAGCUCUCUGGGACGUUACUGACGCUGAGACGCGAAAGCGUGGGGAGCAAACAGG